ACUAUUUGACCCUGGUAGAGCAAAAAGCGGAGCUAGUAAAGCUACAUACGAUUAUUAUAUUUAUAAUAGUGGUGGUAUACGGAAAUUGACAAGUUUUGUUUAGUGUAGUAGUUAAGACUGUAAAUUAUAAAGGAAUUUAAUAAUGGUUACUAGUUAAAGAAGAGACUAAAGCACAGUGCCAGCAGUCGCGGUUAAACUGU
rnacentral:rRNA from 1 species